UUGAGAAAGCUGAAAAGGUGGCGGGAAAACAAUUAUGGAUGAAUUUAUCGCUAAGCAGCUCUAAGGCGACCACGCACUAUUAUGUAAUUGAAGAGUGGGAAGUUCAUGGAGAAAAAGAUCGUUGUGUUACCAAUGAUUCUUGCUACCUAAUUAUAUGAACCGCCUCAAAUCUGUCAGUUGGAUGAAAUUGAUGCGGACCUGGAUCAUCCUUACAUAGAAGCUGAUGGGGAGAGGUGGAGCUGGUGGUGUCCUGGAGGAAGAUGGUCUUCACCUUCAUAUUUAUUCUAUCAUUAAAAAAUAUUCAUUGAUCAUGAUAUUUUUUAGGGCACUAUACACAUAAAACAGGGUACUGCAAUUUGAUAUUGACUUUAUUUGCAUGUUACAUGUCUUCAUAUUCAGGAAUGGAUGACAUAGGAAAUUGACUGGAGAGCUCUUUCAGGGGUGGUGACAAUGCAUGUUUGGCAUGAACAUGUCGAGCAGAGGUGAAGGCAGACCAUGAGCAUUUUGAUCACCGAUGGCCACAGUUCCACGGAGCUGCUAAUUUAACCUCUUACAAAUGGGUCCUUUGUUGUCCAAGGACUAAUUAAUAUAAGUGGUUGUAUUCAAAUUAGUGAGGAGUGUAGUAUGGGGAGGUUCAUAACUAUGGAAUAUAGGUUACAACUCUGCAACUGCAAGUUCAGUAAAGCAUGUAAGCACGAUGUAUAAGGAAAAUAAGCGACGAGGUUAACUCUCCUGGCAAGCAAUUUAUUCCGAUGAAA